CUCAAUGGUAGAGCGUAUUGGGCAACGUUUAAUCGUUGGCUGCGUUCCGUUGGUAGCAGUUUUCCACCCCGAUACGUUCUACCGCCAAG
rnacentral:antisense_RNA from 1 species